rnacentral:rRNA from 1 species
GAUGAACGCUGGCGGCGUGCCUAAUACAUGCAAGUCGAGCGAACAGAUGAGGAGCUUCCUCCUCUGACGUUAGCGGCGGACGGGUGAGUAACACGUGGAUAACCUACCUAUAAGACUGGGAUAACUUCGGGAAACCGGAGCUAAUACCGGAUAAUAUAUUGAACCGCAUGGUUCAAUAGUGAAAGACGGUUUUGCUGUCACUUAUAGAUGGAUCCGCGCCGCAUUAGCUAGUUGGUAAGGUAACGGCUUACCAAGGCAACGAUGCGUAGCCGACCUGAGAGGGUGAUCGGCCACACUGGAACUGAGACACGGUCCAGACUCCUACGGGAGGCAGCAGUAGGGAAUCUUCCGCAAUGGGCGAAAGCCUGACGGAGCAACGCCGCGUGAGUGAUGAAGGUCUUCGGAUCGUAAAACUCUGUUAUUAGGGAAGAACAAAUGUGUAAGUAACUAUGCACGUCUUGACGGUACCUAAUCAGAAAGCCACGGCUAACUACGUG